rnacentral:rRNA from 1 species
ACACAUGCAAGUCGAACGAGCGGGAGAGAGCUUGCUUUCUCGAGCGAGUGGCGAACGGGUGAGUAACGCGUGAGGAACCUGCCUCAAAGAGGGGGACAACAGUUGGAAACGACUGCUAAUACCGCAUAAGCCCACGGGUCGGCAUCGACCAGAGGGAAAAGGAGUGAUCCGCUUUGAGAUGGCCUCGCGUCCGAUUAGCUAGUUGGUGAGGUAACGGCCCACCAAGGCGACGAUCGGUAGCCGGACUGAGAGGUUGAACGGCCACAUUGGGACUGAGACACGGCCCAGACUCCUACGGGAGGCAGCAGUGGGGAAUAUUGCACAAUGGGGGAAACCCUGAUGCAGCGACGCCGCGUGGAGGAAGAAGGUCUUCGGAUUGUAAACUCCUGUUGUUGGGGAAGAUAAUGACGGUACCCAACAAGGAAGUGACGGCUAACUACGUGCCAGCAGCCGCGGUAAAACGUAGGUCACAAGCGUUGUCCGGAAUUACUGGGUGUAAAGGGAGCGCAGGCGGGAAGACAAGUUGGAAGUGAAAUCCAUGGGCUCAACCCAUGAACUGCUUUCAAAACUGUUUUUCUUGAGUAGUGCAGAGGUAGGCGGAAUUCCCGGUGUAGCGGUGGAAUGCGUAGAUAUCGGGAGGAACACCAGUGGCGAAGGCGGCCUACUGGGCACCAACUGACGCUGAGGCUCGAAAGUGUGGGUAGCAAACAGGAUUAGAUACCCUGGUAGUCCACACCGUAAACGAUGAUUACUAGGUGUUGGAGGAUUGACCCCUUCAGUGCCGCAGUUAACACAAUAAGUAAUCCACCUGGG